GGCGGCGUGCCUAAUACAUGCAAGUCGAACGAUUCUCGUGAUGAUCGGUGCUUGCACCGAGAUUCAACAUGGAACGAGUGGCGGACGGGUGAGUAACACGUGGGUAACCUGCCCUUAAGUGGGGGAUAACAUUUGGAAACAGAUGCUAAUACCGCAUAGAUCCAAGAACCGCAUGGUUCUUGGCUGAAAGAUGGCGUAAGCUAUCGCUUUUGGAUGGACCCGCGGCGUAUUAGCUAGUUGGUGAGGUAAUGGCUCACCAAGGCGAUGAUACGUAGCCGAACUGAGAGGUUGAUCGGCCACAUUGGGACUGAGACACGGCCCAAACUCCUACGGGAGGCAGCAGUAGGGAAUCUUCCACAAUGGACGCAAGUCUGAUGGAGCAACGCCGCGUGAGUGAAGAAGGCUUUCGGGUCGUAAAACUCUGUUGUUGGAGAAGAAUGGUCGGCAACGUACACUG
rnacentral:rRNA from 2 species